rnacentral:lncRNA from 1 species
CCAACAGUGGGAGCCCUAUCUAAAAUUUUAAUAUAAAAUUGCUAAAAAUACAAUCUUUACUAAGAGAUAAGCAUGCUUCAACAUGACAGUCAAUCCUAAAUCUAAAAAACGCGUAAACCCACAAUUAGCUAAAUGCCACAAAUACUAUUUCAAAAUCUCAAGCCUUCUACCUUCGUUUUUCCUUGAUUCUUUCUUCACUUCAGAACUUGGCGAAAAUUUCGGGGAAAAUUGAAACGCGAAUUUGGUGUGAAUUCGAAACGCAAAUUUUGGUGUUAAGGGAGAGUUGAAACGCGAAUCUCAAGCCUAUUUCAGAAUUUCAAGCCUUCUUUCUUCGUUCUUCACUCCAGAACUUUGGAGAAAAUUGAAACGCGAAUUUUUGUGUUUAAGGGAGAGUUGAAACGCGAAUCUCAAGCCUAUUUUAGAAUCGAAACGCAAAUUUUGGGGGAAGUUUUUGGGGGAACUUAAGGGUUCUAAGGGAAAGUUGAAAGAUUGUAGUGUUCUUCGAUUUCUGUAAGUUUCCUUAUGUGUUUUAAUCGCGUAAUUCGUAAAUGGUCUUAUGUUUAUGAUGUGUAAUUUUCUUUCCUUUUUUUGGGCUGAAAAAGCCACGUAGGGCUCCUAAUAGGAUUUUCGUCGAUCCACGUCAUAGUUCCAAUGCCGGAAAAAAAAAAUCAGGACAAAAUAAGAAAAAAUUGAUGCGUUGGAUACUUCUAUGCACUUAUCCAAACGAUAUGACAUAUUCCUUAAAAAGUUAAUGUGUUGGACAUAAAGUGACAAUUACCC